rnacentral:lncRNA from 1 species
GGCCUAUCAUCCUUCAGGAGGCGACUGCUCUAGAGACUUCAAGGUACAUCUGCCGCAUCUGCAAACCGAGUCCCUUUCUAUACCUGCUUUUAGUAUUUAGCCCUUCUGUAUUUUUUUCUGUUCUUAUUAGACAUUCCGGAGUUAGAGCUAUGUAGUAUUGUUCUUAGCUUGUGAUUUGUGGGUUUCCAGGUCUUGGAUUUAUGUAUUGGUAUUGAGAGUUAAACAUGGUGUGAGCCGAGCGGCAUAUUUAAACACUGUUACUACGUUAUUUCUGUUUUAAAUUGUUUUACUUCCGCAAAUUUUUGUUUUUCUUCCGCAAAUUAGGCUUACCUAGUCGUAGAGACUAGGUGCCGUCACGAUGGUUCACGGAGGGCAAACCGGGGUUGUGACAAGUUGGUAUCAGAGCUCUAGGUUCAUAGGAGUCAUGGAUCACAAGCCGAUUUAUUAGAGUCUCACUGAUCGAUACAGAGAUGUUUAUACUUAUCUACGAGAGGCUAUGUAACUGUUAGAAAAAUUUCCACUUCAUUUGAUUCCCUGUCGUGCGAUAUUUUGACAUCACAAUUCUAAACUUUUGUCUAUUGUUCUCUUACAGAUGGUGUGGACACGUGCCACCCAAGAUGAUCAGGCACCGCACCCCCUACUGUAGUCGUUAGAGGCUGGGGUUGGGGUAGAGGACGAGGACGCGCACGUGGUGCAGUCAGAGCUCCUGCGCGAGCUGCCGCCGAGGUACCACCCGCAGUUUCAGCUGGAGUCCAGGCACCUGAUAUGCCUACUGCUACUACUACUCCAGCCCUUCAGGAGACUUUGGCGCAGUUCAUGAGCAUGUAUACCACCUUAGCUCAGGCAGGGUUGCUUCCCCUUGCUGCAUCCACAUCUCAGGCCGGGGGAGGAGCACAAACUCCCGCCGUCCGCACUCCUGACCAGCGAGUGCAUGUUGCACAGGUCCCUGAGAUUAUUCCUAG